rnacentral:tRNA from 1 species
GCAGUAGUGGCUCAGUUGUAGAAUUCUCACCUUGCAUGUGGGAGACCAGGGUUCAAUUCCCAGCCAAUGUA